rnacentral:lncRNA from 1 species
GCAGCGGCUGCAUCGUUCAGCUUGAAAUGUCAUAUAGCUGUCAGCCUUGGAAGGGCUGUGGUCUCCACAGUCUAUUGUCACUGGAAACGGACUAGUUGUCCUUCAGGCCUAGUUCUUCCAUCUCUGGGGUGUCUCUCCAGAACUACCUGUCACCCUGCCUACCUGUGGGAUUCUGCUGGCAAGAAAUUGGAGGUGGCAUCCAAAGCCACAGACAGGAACUGGCUGGCUGUUUUGCUAUGUGGUGGAGCCUCGAUAGUCUUAGGGCUAGAUUAGAGCCAAAUAUGACUAAUCAGCUGCCACAGUGUGGAUGACUGGCUUCCUGUUCUCAAAAUUCAAGUUUUGGGUUCUCUGCAAAGCCCUGGGCUAAGUUUUGCUUAAAAGGCCUGGGUCAGAUUUGACCAUAGGCUUGUCUGUGUGGGUUCCCUGAAGUAUGAAGUGACCUGAGGUAUGUGCCACGUGGAGCUAAUGUCAGUAAGGUCCCUGGCAGCUGACCCAUGAUGAGCUUUAGACUAAGGAUGUACUGAGACAGCCCUGGGUCUUGAAUGCAUUUACCCCCAAACUCUAGUAGCUCCGGGACAACUGGAUGGACUAGUCCUCAUCAACUGAGGCAUUUGCUGAUACUACCCCCCCACACACACACCAUUUGCUUUUGGUUUUCCUCUUGCUGUUAUUCUCUUUCCUAUACUUUUUCACUGUCUUUCCUAGGAACAGACCUCAGGAGAUGGACCAGGACUUGGGAUGUCUGCCGACCCUGCAGUCCUUAGCCAGCUAGCAUCUGCUGAGCUUCGCUUUUAGAUGCCAUUUUCUCAAACAGAUGCUGGAAGGCACUGGCUUCUGGAAAUCCCCCUGAACAUCCCACCCCUGCUUUUUAUUAUUAUUAUUAAUAUUAUUCUGCAUGACUAGCUCAUAAGAUGGAAUCUAAGGGGACAAUUAUCAAGACUUUUCCACUUUUUAAAAAAUGUAUGUGACUUAUCUUUGGCUUUCAUUUAAGAGCAGUCUUGGUGGCAGGCAUCUCCCUCUGUGUAUACUCCUGUGGAAUCUGCAGAAACCGAUAUGGCAUACCCCCUCCUGUCUAGGCUGUUUGUAUAAUUGUAUAUAAAUGUAGCAAUAAAUAUAUUCUAACAUCAUCUGGUGCCUGGAUUCCCACUUCGUUUUGCACCUCGGUGGCAGACAGUGAGGGUCACCCUUUUACCGACACUGCCCUGCUGGCCACUGGGACUUACCUGACCCAUCUGAGUUUCUCAUCUUUCACCAAGUGAGCGUUACUAAGAAGCAAGCCAGCAUUUGGAGAAAGGAUGAGGAGGUUUGGUAGCAGAGCUAGGACACGACACGGCAUUAGUAAUUCAUGCGAUGGCACCGGUCCUGGCUGG